CAAACUGAAGAUGGCGACCGGCGCACGGGUGAGUAACACGUAUCCAACCUGCCGAUAACUCCGGAAUAGCCUUUCGAAAGAAAGAUUAAUACCGGAUGGCAUACGAAUAUCGCAUGAUAUUUUUAUUUAAAGAAUUUCGGUUAUCGAUGGGGAUGCGUUCCAUUAGUUUGUUGGCGGGGGUAACGGCCCACCAAGACUACGAUGGAUAGGGGUUCUGAGAGGAAGGUCCCCCACAUUGGAACUGAGACACGGUCCAAACUCCUACGGGAGGCAGCAUG
rnacentral:rRNA from 1 species